GGAAUGUCGCGAGGAGAGUGAAAGGGAAUUCUUCACUGAAUCUGGGGCGACCGAGGUUGGCAAAGCUGGAACCAGCUCGGGUUUCUCACCUGUAAAGGGGAGAUAGCACUUAUCCCAGAGGACUGUGCAGAGAAUUAGUGAGAUGUAGUACAAAACUCACGGGCUAAGGGGACAUGGGUGUUUGCCAAGUAAACUAGUGAGGUUACUGUCUGCCUGAAGAACUUGACAAGUGAUGGGGAGUUAAUAAUUAAUUAGUUACAUUUUCUCCAGAGAAGGGUAGACCUUUGGCUUUAGAAGUUGAUUUUUAAAGUAUUUGACUUUUCUUUCUUUUUUUCUGCUGUACACUGCCAGGUAGGGGUGGGCAAUCACUCCUCCCAUCCCUAGUUCAAAACCCACCUUCUGGUUCUUAGGAUAAUAUAAUGGCUCAAAAGAAGCCCAUUAUUCAUCAUUUUGUUACGAAAUACGCCCACAGCCAAACACAGAAAGAGGGGCUGAUUUUUGCUGGCAUAUCAGAGGCACCCAAUAAGGGAAGGCAACCUUUUGAUUUUAAUGUAGAGAAUAAGCUGUUGCUGCGUUGCAAAUGAGCUCAACAAAUCCCAAGAGAAUUUCUUCUUGAUGCGAGACAGAAUCUAGAAUAUUAAAUAAGAUUUCUCAUUGUCAACCUUUAGUACACAUAAGCUUUGUAGAGCUGAAAUCAGUGAUUCUACAGAGCACUCCCCAUUAAGGAAACAGUGACACCAGAAAACCUACAACAUGUUAUAGAGCCAGAGAUGCCGUAUUAGGAGGACUGGCUGCAUCUGGGAGGGCAUUCAGGGGUGAGGAAAUGGGCGCCUGGAGGGUGUGUCGGGCAGGCAGCUGAUGUAAAGGAGCAGUUAAGGCAGUUGAAUACCUGACUUGAACUCAGGGCUCCUGACUUACCACAAAGUCUAAUCGACUCCAACAAAUCAGUGCUGCUUUUUCAUCCCUUUACAGAUGGCCUGCUAAGCCCCAGCUUGGAGCAUCUGAAUGGAGAUUCUGGGACAUCUGACCUCUGCAGUGAGAAGAUGCUGUGCCUGAGCCGCUGCCCCACAAGCAUCUGGGUGCCGGGCUGCAUUCGCGUAUUGCAGAGCCAUUCCAGCCGACCUGCAGACUUGCAGCCUGAAGCUGAGCCAUGCAGAAGACAUGCAGACUCCUGAAUGGGAUCUGACUAUUUAUUUGUGUCCGUCACUGUGAUUGGGGGACUGUUACAUAGCAAUGCCUAACAGUUACAUGUGCGAAUUUCAUUUAUUAAUAUUUUAGAAAAUUUAUUAAAUUAUUGGAAAUAAAA